GCCUGACUUAUUUAUGUUUUUUUCUUCAGACAGGGCUUGCUGCUACUUCCCUGCCUCGGGCUUUGUGUGCUGUUAAAAACAUAAAAGACUAAGGACUUUGAUGAUAAUUGAAGAAUUCCAUUCCCUCUUUCUCUGCUUACAGGAUUUGCUGCUGUGUUUGCUUCUCUUGGAACCUUGAUUUGACACAAGCUGUUGGCAAUGGCAGAGGGUUUUGGCUACAAUUGAAGAACGCAUACGACCUAAAUGCUUAGAUUUUUCCACUUUUUGAUUGUGGGAAAAUCCUCUCAAAGCAGUUAGGCUUUGCGUGUUUGUCGACGUCAAAGAGAAGAACGUGAACGUCCUAAAUGCUUGGAUUCCUCCACCUUUGCUCGUGGUAGGGUCCACCAAAAACGGUUAGGCUUUACGUAUUUUGUGGUUCAUGAAGAGAAGAACGCGGACGACCUAAGUGCUUGGAUUCCUCCACCUUUGUGCGUGGUAGGGUCCACUAAAAGCGGUUAGGCUUCGCGUAUUUGGUGACUCACGGAGAGAAGAACGCGGACGUCCUAAACGCUUAGAUUCUUCCACUUUUGUGCUUGGUAGGGUCCACUAAAAGCGGUUAGGCUUCGCAUACGUCGUCAGGCACUCGCGAUCGCGCUUCCCGUCCUUUUGUGGCCAUGGCUUUCUUCAAGUGCUUCAAGAAAGGGACAGUCACCAUCCUCGACAAUCCGGAGGACACUCAAAGUGAUGGCACUACUCUGCAGGUGUAUCCAUCAUUGACUGGGCCUCAAGCAAUCGAUAUCCCUCCUUAUGACCCUUAAGCUCACAUCCUCCAGUGGACUCAUGUGGCACCUCGCCAGCUACCGAAGGAAGAAUGUGAACGUCCUAAAUGCUUGGAUUCCUCCAUCUUUUGGACAUGGGAGAAUCCGCUUCAAGCAGUUAGGCUUUGCAUAUUCGUCGAUAACCAAAGAAGGUGCGAACUUCCAAAGACUGUGCGGAGUCAUGCUCUCGGUAGAUAUUUAAUAUUUGAGUUCUUCACGUGCAUCUCUUCUUUGAGUUGGUGGACAGCUCCAAAUGCUUGAGUCAUUGAAUUCAAUCAUGAUCUUGACACAUCUCUGAGCAGACCCAUCUUCUUGCUUUGGUUUGUUUCAUAGAGAGAAGAAAAGAAGCCAAAAUAAGCUAACUAGGAUUGAAAGACGCCCAGGUGCCAGA